UACGAAGGGGGGCUAGCGUUGCUCGGAACCACUGGGCGUAAAGGGUGCGUAGGCGGGUUUUUAAGUCAGGGGUGAAAUCCUGGAGCUCAACUCCAGAACUGCCUUUGAUACUGAAGAUCUUGAGUCCGGGAGAGGUGAGUGGAACUGCGAGUGUAGAGGUGAAAUUCGUAGAUAUUGGGAAGAACACCGAUGGCGAAGGCAGCCAUCUGGACCGACACUGACGUUGAGGCGCGAAAGCGUGGGGAGCAAACAGG
rnacentral:rRNA from 1 species